UAUGAUGGAUGGUGAACAGAGAAUAACAACAUGAACGGUCGUGAUUCAGUAUUUUGUGCACUCAAAUUAUUGAACAGAAGGGGCAAGGAAAUAAUUGUGUUAUUUGUAUGAACUGUGUGUGUGCUUUCUUCAGGAUCCGAUUGAGAAAGUUUAGGUCCAGAUGACAAGAAAUAAAAUAUGCAAAUCCCAUGUUUUUUAAGGAUUUUUGUUUGUUAAUUCAAUGGUCCACUUCUAAACUGUUUGAUUUUCAAUGGUGGUGUUGUUGUUCAAGUAGUGGGUUUGUUCAUGAUGCACAUGGGGAAUAGCAUGAUUUUUGUGGUGAAUAUGUGGGAACUGUCAUGAUUUUAAGGAUUUCCCUUCUUUCUUCCUCUUGCUGAUAUAAAUUAUGUUUUUAGCAUUUUUUUCCCAAGCAAGCAUCUGCAAAAAGUUUCUUAUUUCAUUUUCCAGCUUUUGACCCUGAUUUGACCAGAUGCAGAGAUGUGAUGCUUGCUCUGUUGCCAGUGCAUCCUACUCUCCUGGCAACCAUAGUGCCCUCACCAUAACAUGAACAACAGAGGGCCGGUGCGCUCACCAUGACCUUGAUGGCGCAACGGAAGUUCGAGUCCUCUGUAGAGAAGCAUCCAGUGGCGGAGGCUAUGAGGUUGCAUUCUUAUUUCUCCUAGGACUAUGUUUAAACAUUCAACAACUCUGGCCAACAUAUGAAACAAGGCCAAGUCUCGCAUGGGGAUGCAGCCCAUCCUCUGCUUGCUUCCAGCACGGCGCCGGCCGGAUCCACCUCGGCCACAACCACGACACCGGCAUUGGUAGCCAUGUGCUUCUUCUCCAUCACCACAAAAUGAGAAUGCAAGGCACAAGCAAGGGAAGACCAUCGCUUCGCUCCUCUGGGCCGCCGCUGCUCCAACCCUACUGGACGCCAUGCAAGGUCGUGGACGUUGUGGAGCUGGACGAGAGGCUACAUUGUAUCCAGAAUACUAAGAUACAAUGUACGCUAUAUGGAGCAGCACGACCGCGUUGAUGGGUGUUGUCGCCGUCGACGGCAGAAGCGCAAGUCGCGGCUCAGGCCACUGCUCCGUUGGGGUCACCAUCGUGUGCGGUUGUUGUACUCGUGUUGCGCGUGCGCUCAGCGUACAACCGAGUCGUUGAUGCGGUGAGAGGUCGGUGUCGUGUCCGCCGGCUGAGCAGCAAGCCGGAGCUGCAAGUCUCUAAACAUGGUGGUGCUACUUUGUGGAUUGUGAUUAAGAAUGAUGACCCUGGUUAAUUAUAGGAUUUACCAUGAGAGCAUGAGAUCUUUGCACCUGUUUUUUGGUGCGUUUGUGCUCGUCGGCGGGACGGUGCAAGGCGCAAUUCCGACGCGGUUCCUUGCCGGUUGGACGGCGUUCACGCGCAACCCCGGCGUGCACUGAGUACUGCCUCGGCUACAACCUCCCUUGGUGAGCUCCAUCUUCCUCCUGCUCCUCUGCUUCGGCUACUGUAUGGGACAUGGCCAUGGCUAUAUUGAUCCAUCCAUCCAAUCCAGAAAUAAGAAUAGAAGCUCCUCAGGCCGCACCACAACGAUUUGGGAUUCCUGGCCGUCGGAUCGGGUGGCUUGAUCGGAUCUGGGCCGUCGGAUCGACCCUUGUAACGACCUCGUCCGUCGGAUAAAAAAAAGUUACUGCUGGAAUGAAUAGUUACUCCCGUUUCGUGCCACCGCUCGUAAAUAGCCUGCCCCUCCGGGGGCAUUCUCGCCAUUUGGCUUUGUCUGUGGCGGUGGCGUUCGUGCUAGGGCGAUGAUGAUUAACUGUGGCUGGAAUAAGUGUGCCUUUGAGCAAUCAAGGCACCUGUGGGUAUCAAGUUGGAUCCUCCCUGUUGUCUCUCGAAUCCUUUUUGAUCCCGUGAUACCUAUUGAUCUGUCCUUGGAUGGUCAUUCUUGUUGAGUGAUAACCAGGGCAGCUUCAUUGUGUAAACAGAUUGAUCUGGUGAUAAGAGAUGAUGGGGAUAGGUUAUAUGAUCGAGAAAAGGCGAAUCUGAGCCCACUAUGCAAUAAAACUGUAGCUACCUCCCCUAAUGUGUGUAGUAUUGAAGGCAAAAGAGAACUUUUAAUGUCUUGCUACUUUAAAAUUCCAAAAAGGUGCAUUCUUCCUUUGCUGGUUAGUUAACCAUGAUUUUUUGUUUUGCUUUGGUUCUGGUUGAGAUACUAAAGGUUGUUUAUAUAUGAAAAUAAUAGACACUUGUAGUUUUGUAUGCCUCACCUGUAGCUUAGGAUCCAGUGUUGUAAUGUUUUGCCUGGGUAAAAAUAACUCUAAUCAAUAAUAGUGGUUCUAUCCUUCUGAUUUGAACUGGGAGAGGGCCACUGAUUCUUGAUCUUAAGGUGACCCCAUUUUUCUAUGCCUCAUGCUCAUGCUGCUCUAUGUUCCCUUUUAAAGAUUCUUGCUUGCAUUUUGGGUUUGUUUUCUGCUCUAUGUUCCCUUUUAGCAUUUCUUUUCGCUGUUGCUGCAUUCCCUUUUUUGUAUAUUACAUGUUCUUUUUGUAUCUCAUUCUGCAUGUAACAUAACUAAAUAAUACAUUGAGAUGAAGGUUAUAUCUGAUAUCAUUGAGAGGAGCAGGCCAACAUCCCUACCUCCCUCUUCAACUCCCACCCAACACAAUUGUGGUGAGCUCCCCCUCUCAUCUACCUGCUAUUUGUACCUUCGGUUUUGGAUGCAUACAAAUUGUGUAUGCCAUGACUGAAACUCGAGCAGCAAAUUGUGUGUGUGUGCGUGUGUGUGUGCGCACGCACAUCACGUUUUUUUUUAAUUUUGGAUGGCUCAAACCGGCUGGAGCCAACUUUGUGUGCGUGUGAGUGCGCAUCCAUUGCAUGUAAAAAUCUUGUUUUUUCCAAACUCUUCUACUGUCGGAUAUGUAGAUAAAUUGCUUAUCUAGGAAGUUGUAGUACUCCAUGCCAUUGUCAAGGAUCUGCACUUUCAUCACACUAAAUGUAGUUGACUAAAAAGGUAAGUUAUGCCUUCUCUCUCGCUAAUCAAUUUUCUCUUGGCUAUUCUUUCUUUGCAGAUGAUCAUAUUUUGUGUAUUUUCACUAUGUAUUCUUGUAUCUAUAUAUGUUGAGCAGAUUGUUUCCUCUAUGACCAUGAUUCUAUAUGAUUACUGAGGUCUCUAACCUUCUCUUCUUUUCUAAUUAGAACAUGAUACUAAUCUGAUGUAUCUCCUAUUUGCGAUGACUAUUAAAUAUGGAGUUUCUGUGUUGUCUAAUGAAGCAGUCAAGUAUGCAAUCUGAGCAGAAUAUCAUUAAAAGGUCAUUGACCCAACAAAUUGAACUUAAUCUGAACCUCCCCUGUUCCUGCUAAAUAUCCCUAUUUUUCUGAACUUAACAAAGAACAACAUCAUAUAUUAGAUCAGCACACAAGUGAAUCGGAAAGCAUUUUAUUCAGUCUUGGUACCCUUAGUAUAAAAUUAUUCCUUACUGGUUGGGGAUUUGGAGGUGCAGUAUGUGGUUGGCGAAGAAUUUUUUUCUCCUAGGCUCCACACAUUCUCUUCCAUCUAAAACAACCGAUGCGGUCAAGUGGUGUAGUAGUUGAUGGUCGAGAGCUAAAAUCAGGGCACUGUUUUGUUUUAGGAUUUGUGUAAUCUUUAGAUCCACUUUUACCAUCACAAUUAUUUGCCUGAGCUCUGGUGAUUACUCCCAAGGAUUACUCCACCAAAUAACAUUACCGAGGUAUCACCGUGUGCCUGGCUGUUUAUUCAUGUGUAGUACUACAGUGUGUGGCCUUCUCUGUUUUGUCAAAUGCCAGUACUUGCGUUGUGACCCUUGAUGUAAUGUCUGUCAAUCUGUAACCCUUUGAAACAUGACCUGUUGCCUAUUGGUAUUACUGAUAUAAAAGAGAUUUUUUUUUUGUGCUGAUGCAGGAGGGCAGCAGCCUCGACGCGGCGAUCACGUCGCUCCUUAGCGUGGAGAUGUAGUGCCACCUGGCCGGCAGAAGGAAGUCCGCCGAUCGUCAAGAUCUGCUUCAAGGACGGCGCCUGGAAGAAGCUCAAUGACCAGAUCAUCGUCCUCUCCAAGAGGAGGGGUCAGUUCAAGCAGGUUGGUCCGCUGUCUACAGGUGCUCGUUAUUCUGGCCAGUUUGUCGUGCUCUAUCUUCGACCACCUCUUUGCAGUAACUUUUUCCCGCCUUGCUGGAGGAGAUGAAGCACAUGGCAAAGCAGGAGUUCAUUGCGCACUUAAGAAGAGGAGGCGUCCUGGAGCGCGGUGGAGGCAUUUUGGACGUGGAGCACGGCCUGGAGCACGGCCUUGCGGUUCCUGGAGCCUAGGGAGGCCAUGCGAGAAACCUGGGGCAGCAAGGUACUGCCUCUUGCUGCUCCUCCCCCAUGUCUGGAGCUCGCCUGGAGGUCCCCCACGCCUUGAGCUCGCUAGAGCAGAGGCCUGCGGAGCGCUCCCUGGGGCAAGGCCUGGGGCGAUCUGCAGGGAGGAGCAGAGGUCUGGAGCUGCAGGGAGGAGCAGAGGCCUGGAGCCGGCGGCGAGCUCUGGAGGCGGCGACGCGAGGAAGGAGCGAAUCACGAGGGAGAGGGAGGAGCGGAUCGCCAACUUUUCAAUUGUAUAAGGAUGUAAUUGAAAAAUGCUGUUUAGUUCAAAAUGUGUGUCCGUUGCGACAUAUAUUUCGGGACGGAGAAAGUACUAUUGACAUAGAUACACUUUAUUUAUCAAGGAUUUUUGUAUAUCAUAUUAUCACAGGAAAAUGAUCUAUGUAUGCACUUUUUAUGGUCA